GAUGAAGAACGUAGCGAAAUGCGAUAUGUAGUGUGAAUUGCAGAAUUCAGUGAAUCAUCGAGUCUUUGAACGCACAUUGCGCCCCCUGGUAUUCCGGGGGGCAUGCCUGUCCGAGCGUCAUUGCUGCCCUCAAGCACGGCUUGUGUGUUGGGCCGCCGUCCCCGGUUUCCCCCGGGGACGGGCCCGAAAGGCAGCGGCGGCACCGCGUCCGAUCCUCGAGCGUAUGGGGCUUUGUCACCCGCUCUGUAGGCCCGGCCGGCGCCAGCCGACACCCAACUUUAUUUCUAAGGUUGACCUCGGAUCAGGUAGGGAUACCCGCUGAACUUAAGCAUAUCAAUAAGCGGAGGA
rnacentral:misc_RNA from 1 species